AAUGAACGUUGGCGGCGUGGAUUAGGCAUGCAAGUCGAGCGAGAACCGUAGCAAUACGGGGAAAGCGGCGCAAGGGACAGUAAUGUGUAGGUACCUACCCUGGGUUCGGGAUAGCCGCGGGAAACUGCGGGUAAUACCGAAUAACGUCUUCGGACCAAAGGUGUGAUUCCACCUGGGGAGGGGCCUGCAUCCUAUUAGCUAGUUGGUGAGGUAACGGCUCACCAAGGCCAUGAUGGGUAGCAGGNGUGAGAGCACGACCUGCGUCACCGGGACUGAGACACUGCCCAGACACCUACGGGUGGCUGCAGUCGAGAAUCUUCGGCAAUGGGCGCAAGCCUGACCGAGCGACGCCGCGUGCGGGAUGAAGGCC
rnacentral:rRNA from 1 species